rnacentral:rRNA from 1 species
UACAGAGGUCUCAAGCGUUGUUCGGAUUCAUUGGGCGUAAAGGGUGCGUAGGUGGCGCCGUAAGUCAGGUGUGAAAUCUCGGGGCUCAACCCCCGAAACUGCACUUGAUACUGCGGUGCUCGAGUACUGGAGAGGAGAUUGGAAUUUACGGUGUAGCAGUGAAAUGCGUAGAUAUCGUAAGGAAGACCAGUGGCGAAGGCGAAUCUCUGGACAGUUACUGACACUGAGGCACGAAGGCCAGGGGGAGCAAAACGGGG